CCUACGGGGUGCAGCAGUGGGGAAUAUUGCACAAUGGGCGCAAGCCUGAUGCAGCCAUGCCGCGUGUGUGAAGAAGGCCUUCGGGUUGUAAAGCACUUUCAGCGGGGAGGAAGGCGGUGAGGUUAAUAACCUCAUCGAUUGACGUUACCCGCAGAAGAAGCACCGGCUAACUCUGUGCCAGCAGCCGCGGUAAUACGGAGGGUGCAAGCGUUAAUCGGAAUUACUGGGCGUAAAGCGCACGCAGGCGGUCUGUCAAGUCGGAUGUGAAAUCCCCGGGCUCAACCUGGGAACUGCAUUCGAAACUGGCAGGCUAGAGGCUUGUAGAGGGGGGGAGAAUUCCAGGUGUAGCGGUGAAAUGCGUAGGGAUCUGGAGGAAUACCGGUGGCGAAGGCGGCCCCCUGGACAAAGACUGACGCUCAGGUGCGAAAGCGUGGGGAGCAAACAGGAUUAGAACCCUAGUAGUC
rnacentral:rRNA from 1 species